GAGGCCUACGGGGCGCAGCAGUGGGGGAUAUUGCACAAUGGGGGGAACCCUGAUGCAGCGACGCCGCGUGGGUGAAGGAGUGCUUCGGCAUGUAAAGCCCUAUCGGCAGGGAAGAAGCAAGACGGUACCUGACUAAGAAGCCCCGGCUAACUACGUGCCAGCAGCCGCGGUAAUACGUAGGGGGCGAGCGUCAUCCGGAUUCACUGGGUGUAAAGGGAGCGUAGACGGCCAUGCAAGCCAGGGGCGAAAGCCCGGGGCCCAACCCCGGGACUGCCCUUGGAACUGUGCGGCGAGAGUGCGGGAGG
rnacentral:rRNA from 1 species